GAUGAACGCUGGCGGUAUGCUUAACACAUGCAAGUCGAACGGUCACUUCGGUGAUAGUGGCGGACGGGUGAGUAACGCGUGAGAAUCUGUCUUCAGGUCGGGGACAACAGUUAGAAAUGACUGCUAAUACCGGAUGUGCCUUUGGGUGAAAGAUUUAUUGCCUGAAAAAGAGCUCGCGUCAGAUUAGCUAGUAGGUGGUGUAAGAGACUACCUAGGCUCCGAUCUGUAGCUGGUCUGAGAGGACGAUCAGCCACACUGGAACUGAGACACGGUCCAGACUCCUACGGGAGGGAGCAGUGGGGAAUUUUCCGCAAUGGGCGAAAGCCUGACGGAGCAAUACCGCGUGAGGGACGAAGGCUUUUGGGUCGUAAACCUCUUUUCUCAAGGAAGAUGAUGACGGUACUUGAGGAAUAAGCAUCGGCUAACUCUGU
rnacentral:rRNA from 1 species